UACAGAGGGGGCAAGCGUUGUUCGGAAUUACUGGGCAUAAAGGGCGCGUAGGCGGCCUGCUAAGUCGAACGUGAAAUCCCUGGGCUCAACCCAGGAACUGCGUCCGAUACUGGUUGGCUUGAAUCCGGGAGAGGGACGUGGAAUUCCAGGUGUAGCGGUGAAAUGCGUAGAUAUCUGGAGGAACACCGGUGGCGAAGGCGACGUCCUGGACCGGCAUUGACGCUGAGGCGCGAAAGCCAGGGGAGCAAACGGGG
rnacentral:rRNA from 1 species